rnacentral:rRNA from 1 species
AGUGAACGCUGGCGGUAGGCCUAACACAUGCAAGUCGAACGGCAGCACAGUAAGAGCUUGCUCUUACGGGUGGCGAGUGGCGGACGGGUGAGGAAUACAUCGGAAUCUACUUUUUCGUGGGGGAUAACGUAGGGAAACUUACGCUAAUACCGCAUACGACCUACGGGUGAAAGCAGGGGAUCUUCGGACCUUGCGCGAUUGAAUGAGCCGAUGUCGGAUUAGCUAGUUGGCGGGGUAAAGGCCCACCAAGGCGACGAUCCGUAGCUGGUCUGAGAGGAUGAUCAGCCACACUGGAACUGAGACACGGUCCAGACUCCUACGCGAGGACGCAGUGGGGAAUAUUGGACAAUGGGCGCAAGCCUGAUCCAGCCAUACCGCGUGGGUGCAGAAGGCCUUCGGGUUGUAAAGCCCUUUUGUUGGGAAAGAAAAGCAGCAGGUUAAUCCCCCGCUGUUCUGACGGUACCCAAAGAAUAAGCACCGGCUAACUUCGUG